GACGAACGCUGGCGGCGUGCCUAAUACAUGCAAGUCGAACGCAGUGGGGACGGGUGAGUAACACGUGGGUAACCUCCCAUCAGAGGGGAUAACACUUGGAAACAGGUGCUAAACCGAUACUGAUGGAUGAACCCGCGGUGCAUUAGCUAGUUGGUGAGGUAACGGCUCACCAAGGCCACGAUGCAUAGCCGACCUGGGAGGGUGGUCGGUCACACUGGGAAUGGGACACGGGCCAGACUCCUACGGGAGGGAGCAAGAGGGGAUCUUCGGCAAUGGGCGGAAGUCCGACCGAGCAACGCCGCGUGAGUGAAGAAGGUUUUCGGAUCGUAAAGCUCCGUUGUGAGAGAAGCGGUAACGAACCAGAAAGGGACGGCUAACUACGUGCCAGCAGCCGCGGUAAUUC
rnacentral:rRNA from 1 species